rnacentral:rRNA from 1 species
GGAGUCUAGCAUGUACGCAAGUCAUUGGGAUAUUACAAAUGAAACCUAAAGGCGUAAUGAAAGUAAAAAUCUGCCUUCAAAAGCAGAUCAAGGGAGGAUGAAUAAUAAUUAAACCGAUUAAUCCGCACUCCCGGGGCGUCUCAUUUUCAUCACGAAAAGAGGCGCACCUAGAGCGUACACGCUGGGACCCGAAAGAUGGUGAACUAUGCCUGGUCAGGACGAAGUCAGGGGAAACCCUGAUGGAGGUCCGUAGCGAUUCUGACGUGCAAAUCGAUCGUCGGAACUGGGUAUAGGGGCGAAAGACUAAUCGAACCAUCUAGUAGCUGGUUCCCUCCGAAGUUUCCCUCAGGAUAGCUGGCAUUUAAUGCAUAAGAGUUUCAUCCGGUAAAGCGAAUGAUUAGAGGCAUUGGGGUCGAAACGGCCUCAACCUAUUCUCAAACUUUAAAUGGGUGAGAUCUCCGGCUUGCUUGAACGAGUCGUCUUUUCAUUUAUGAAUUGGCGACACACUGAAGCCGCGAGAAUCGAAUCAGAGUGCCAAGUGGGCCAUUUUUGGUAAGCAGAACUGGCGCUGUGGGAUGAACCAAACGUUGAGUUAAAGCGCCUAAAUCGACGCUUAUGGGAUACCAUGAAANNNNNNNGUAACUUAAGACAUCAGGACG